rnacentral:rRNA from 1 species
GACGAACGCUGGCGGCGUGCCUAAUACAUGCAAGUCGAGCGGAGUUAGAGAAGCUUGCUUCUCUAACUUAGCGGCGGACGGGUGAGUAACACGUGGGCAAUCUGCCCGUAAGACUGGGAUAACUCCGGAAACCGGGGCUAAUACCGGAUAAUCCUGACUCUCUCCUGAGAGUCAGUUGAAAGAUGGUUUCGGCUAUCACUUACGGAUGAGCCCGCGGCGCAUUAGCUAGUUGGUAGGGUGAUGGCCUACCAAGGCGACGAUGCGUAGCCGACCUGAGAGGGUGAUCGGCCACACUGGGACUGAGACACGGCCCAGACUCCUACGGGAGGCAGCAGUAGGGAAUCUUCCGCAAUGGACGAAAGUCUGACGGAGCAACGCCGCGUGAGUGAAGAAGGGUUUUCGGAUCGUAAAACUCUGUUGUUAGGGAAGAACACGUACGAGAGUAACUGCUCGUACCUUGACGGUACCUAACCAGAAAGCCACGGCUAACUACGUG